AUAUACAUAGUUUUCAGUUUAAAGGAUCAACUCCAACUUAUUCUUGGCUUUACAAGUUCAAACUCUUUUUAAAGGUUUGAGGUUGUUACCAUUUCAAUAGGUUGCACCAGAAGAUGGAUGGUAACCAAAAAUUUUGGUGGCCUUUUAGCUUUUUUUUUCUGUGUAGCCUAAAACAACCAAGGGUAUGAGAAUUAGAUUUUUGAUUUUGAAUGCUUUCUAUCAGUUUAUCUUUUUAUUCUUACUAAUGUUCUUUUAUAAGUGGCUGGUAGUUUUGGUUAGAGGAUGAAAACUUAUUAACAAAGUAAUGCCACAAUUUUCGUGGUGUUCCAUUCUUUCUAUGUUUUGGCCAACUUCCUGCUUCCGGUCUUGUAUUUUUGGAUGC
rnacentral:lncRNA from 1 species